rnacentral:rRNA from 1 species
GCUUACAGCCAUACCACCCUGAGCACGCCUGAUCUCAUCUGAUUUUGGAAGCUAAGCAGGGUUGGGCCUGGUUAGUACUUGGAUGGGAGACUGCCUGAGAAUACCAGGUGCUGUAAGCU